GACGAACGCUGGCGGCGUGCCUAAUACAUGCAAGUUGAGCGCUGAAGGUUGGUACUUGUACCGACUGGAUGAGCAGCGAACGGGUGAGUAACGCGUGGGGAAUCUGCCUUUGAGCGGGGGACAACAUUUGGAAACGAAUGCUAAUACCGCAUAAAAACUUUAAACACAAGUUUUAAGUUUGAAAGAUGCAAUUGCAUCACUCAAAGAUGAUCCCGCGUUGUAUUAGCUAGUUGGUGAGGCAAAGGCUCACCAAGGCGAUGAUACAUAGCCGACCUGAGAGGGUGAUCGGCCACAUUGGGACUGAGACACGGCCCAAACUCCUACGGGAGGCAGCAGUAGGGAAUCUUCGGCAAUGGACGAAAGUCUGACCGAGCAACGCCGCGUGAGUGAAGAAGGUUUUCGGAUCGUAAAACUCUGUUGGUAGAGAAGAACGUUGGUGAGAGUAGAAAGCUCAUCAAGUGACGGUAACUACCCAGAAAGGGACGGCUAACUACGUG
rnacentral:rRNA from 1 species